AUUGAACGCUGGCGGCAUGCCUUACACAUGCAAGUCGAACGGAUUUUGGAGCUUGCUCCAAAGUUAGUGGCGAACGGGUGAGUAAUAUAUCGGAACGUACCCUGGAGUGGGGGAUAACUAGUCGAAAGACUAGCUAAUACCGCAUACGAUCUAAGGAUGAAAGUGGGGGACCGCAAGGCCUCACGCUCCUGGAGCGGCCGAUAUCUGAUUAGCUAGUUGGCGGGGUAAAAGCCCACCAAGGCGACGAUCAGUAGCUGGUCUGAGAGGACGAUCAGCCACACUGGGACUGAGACACGGCCCAGACUCCUACGGGAGGCAG
rnacentral:rRNA from 1 species